AGUCUGUCAAUAAGUUCAUCUAUAAUGG
rnacentral:sRNA from 1 species